rnacentral:rRNA from 1 species
CCUACGGGGAGCAGCAGUCGAGAAUCAUUCACAAUGGGGGAAACCCUGAUGGUGCGACGCCGCGUGGGGGAAUGAAGGUCUUCGGAUUUUAAACCCCUGUCAUGUGGGAGCAAAUUAAAAAGAUAGUACCACAAGAGGAAGAGACGGCUAACUCUGUGCCAGCAGCCGCGGUAAUACAGAGGUCUCAAGCGUUGUUCGGAAUCACUGGGCGUAAAGCGUGCGUAGGCUGUUUCGUAAGUCGUGUGUGAAAGGCGCGGGCUCAACCCGCGGACGGCACAUGUUACUGCGAGACUAGAGUAAUGGAGGGGGAACCGGAAUUCUCGGUGUAGCAGUGAAAUGCGUAGAUAUCGAGAGGAACACUCGUGGCGAAGGCGGGUUCCUGGACAUUAACUGACGCUGAGGCACGAAGGCCAGGGGAGCGAAAGGGAUUAGAUACCCCUGUAGUC